rnacentral:rRNA from 1 species
UACGAAGGGGGCUAGCGUUGCUCGGAAUCACUGGGCGUAAAGCGCCCGUAGGCGGCUUUUUCAGUCAGGGGUGAAAUCUUGGAGCUCAACUCCAGAACUGCCUUUGAUACUGAGAAGCUUGAGUCCGGGAGAGGUGAGUGGAACUGCGAGUGUAGAGGUGAAAUUCGUAGAUAUUCGCAAGAACACCAGUGGCGAAGGCGGCGCACUGGCCCGGUACUGACGCUGAGGUGCGAAAGCGUGGGGAGCAAACAGG